rnacentral:rRNA from 1 species
UACGUAGGGUGCAAGCGUUGUCCGGAAUUAUUGGGCGUAAAGAGCUCGUAGGCGGCUUGUCGCGUCGACUGUGAAAACCCGUGGCUCAACCAUGUGGUCUGCAGUCGAUACGGGCAGGCUAGAAUUCGGUAGGGGAGACUGGAAUUCCUGGUGUAGCGGUGAAAUGCGCAGAUAUCAGGAGGAACACCGGUGGCGAAGGCGGGUCUCUGGGCCGAUAUUGACGCUGAGGAGCGAAAGCGUGGGGGAGCGAACAGG